AGGGUGCCAGCAGCCCCCCACCCAUCUCCUGCCCCUCCUACACACUUCACCGGGGAUUUCUCCUCAGGAGAGACCCCAGGUGCGGGUGGCAGCCCUGGAGCUGCUGGCAUCAGUAGCCAACAGCUGUGUGAUGGAGAGGAAAGCCGGCCUCUGUCAGAAGCUGAUCUGCUGCCUCCUCCCCGUCCUCUUCUACCUGAAUGACGAGCACCCAAUAGUGAUCAAAAAAGCCAGAUAUACAUUCUUCUAGUUGGCCCAGAAAGUCGGCUGGAGGCACUCCAAAGUAGUCGGGUGGAUGUUGAGCUGGGAAGAGAGGGAGAGCACGGCCUACGGUACCAUCUGUGAGGCCUUGAAAUUCAAACUCUAGAAAACGACAGCUCGACCAGGAUUCGCAGAUUCCUGAGAUCCUACAAGAGGAGACUGGCAGAGAACGAUGGCCAGUUCUUCUUCUGAGGGCUCCCAUCCCGUGGGAGAAGAAGAAGCCUAGGAGGGCGAGGUGGCAACAGGACUGUCCUGGGGCUCCAGGUCUGAGGCAAUGGGGGCUGCCUUGCGACGUGCCAUAGGUUCAGGUCUCCGAAGAAUUGAGAGGAUUCCGGCCCCAGACAGCCAUGUGAGAGAAGCAGGUUCAGGGGGCCCGGCCCGCUCCGUCAUCCCCCAUUUUUACUCUGGCCGCCAGCGGGAAGAAGGAGGCCAUGCGGGGGGUGGACUCUAACCCCAGGACUCGGGGACGGGGGGAACUGGACCACGCCAGUGUCAAAACCCUACCUCCU